rnacentral:rRNA from 1 species
AUACGGAGGAUGCGAGCGUUAUCCGGAUUUAUUGGGUUUAAAGGGUGCGUAGGCUGUGCGUUAAGUCAGGGGUGAAAUGCCGUCGCUCAACGACGGAGCUGCCCUUGAUACUGGCGUGCUGGAGUACGGAUGCCGUUGGAGGAAUGAGUGGUGUAGCGGUGAAAUGCUUAGAUAUCACUCAGAACACCGAUUGCGAAGGCAUCUGACGAAUCCGUCACUGACGCUGAGGCACGAAAGCGCGGGGAUAGAACAGGAUUAGAUACCCUGGUAUUCCACGCCGCAAACGAUGAUGACUAACCGUCGGCGAUAGACAGCCGGUGGCCAAGCGAAAGCGAUAAGUCAUCCACCUGGGGAGUACGUCGGCAACGAUGAAACUCAAAUGAAUUGGCGGGG